rnacentral:rRNA from 1 species
UGAGGAAUAUUGGUCAAUGGGGGCAACCCUGAACCAGCCAAGUCGCGUGAAGGAUGAAGGUCUUAUGGAUUGUAAACUUCUUUUACACGGGAAUAAAGUGGGGGACGUGUCCCCCUUUGCAUGUACCGUGUGAAUAAGGAUCGGCUAACUCCGUGCCAGCAGCCGCGGUAAUACGGAGGAUCCGAGCGUUAUCCGGAUUUAUUGGGUUUAAAGGGUGCGCAGGCGGGAUGUUAAGUCGGCGGUGAAAUUUUGCAGCUCAACUGUAAAAGUGCCUUCGNUACUGGCCUCCUUGAGUGUGGAUGAAGUAGGCGGAAUUUGUGGUGUAGCGGUGAAAUGCUUAGAUAUCACGAGGAACUCCGAUUGCGCAGGCAGCUUACUAAGCCACAACUGACGCUCAUGCACGAAGGCGUGGGGAUCAAACA